rfam:Clostridium sp. DMHC 10 contig_16, whole genome shotgun sequence.
GAAAGCCGUGUGCGAGAAAACCGCAUGCACGGUUUGAUGAGGAGAAGGUGGCGAUUCGCCACCGACUUACUCUAC